CGCCAUACGAGUAACGUUUUCUUUUAUCUCCGAGUUUUCCAAAAAACGUUGUUUUGGAUACACAUUUGUGCAAGCAUGAAAUCGCAUAUAUUAUCCAGAAAGUGCCGGAGAAGUAUCACGACCAAAGAUGUAUAAUUAAAAAUAUUUAGGAGUUGCACACUUCUACCAAGGAAGAGUAACUGUCUAGACAAGAGAGGAUUGGCUGAUGUGAAGAGGAUUCAGAAGUACUAAUUGCCACCCUUUCCUGCUCUCAAAGAAAUACAAGGCAAGAAGCGGUUAUAAAAACCUGACAAGUAAAAACGUAACACGAGAGAAUAAAAUCCGAUCAACCAUGCACAGCAAC